CCUACGGGGGGCUGCAGUGGGGGAUAUUGCACAAUGGGGGAAACCCUGAUGCAGCGACGCCGCGUGUGGGAAGACGGUCCUCUGGAUUGUAAACCACUGUCCCCAGGGACGAAGAUGACGGUACCUGGGGAGGAAGCUCCGGCUAACUACGUGCCAGCAGCCGCGGUAAUACGUAGGGAGCGAGCGUUGUCCGGAAUUACUGGGUGUACAGGGAGCGUAGGCGGGACUGCAAGUUGGGUGUCAAAUCUACCGGCUCAACCGGUAGCCGCACUCAAAACUGCAGUUCUUGAGUGCAGUAGAGGCAGGCGGAAUUCCGAGUGUAGCGGUGAAAUGCGUAGAUAUUAGGAGGAACACCAGUGGCGAAGGCGGCCUGAUGGGCUUUUACUGACGCUGAGGCUCGAAAGUGUGGGGAGCAAACAGGAUUAGAUACCCGAGUAGUC
rnacentral:rRNA from 1 species